ensembl:snRNA U6atac minor spliceosomal RNA
GUAACUGUAAUAGGAGAGAAGGUUAGCACUCUCCUUGACAAGGAUGGAAGAGGCCCUUGGGCCUUACUACACAUGUAUGGUUAAGACAUUACCACCUACUUUGGGAAGUCUAAUCACAGUUGGGA